GUGGGGAAUCUUCCGCAAUGGGCGAAAGCCUGACGGAGCAACGCCGCGUGAGUGAAGACGGCCUUCGGGUUGUAAAGCUCUGUUAUACGGGACGAAUAAUCUUGUGGUUAAUACCCAUGAGAAGUGACGGUACCGUAAGAGAAAGCCACGGCUAACUACGUGCCAGCAGCCGCGGUAAUACGUAGGUGGCAAGCGUUGUCCGGAAUUAUUGGGCGUAAAGGGCGCGCAGGCGGCUUCUUAAGUCUGUCUUAAAAGUGCGGGGCUUAACCCCGUGAUGGGAUGGAAACUGGGAAGCUCAGAGUAUCGGAGAGGAAAGCGGAAUUCCUAGUGUAGCGGUGAAAUGCGUAGAUAUUAGGAGGAACACCAGUGGCGAAAGCGGCUUUCUGGACGAAAACUGACGCUGAGGCGCGAAAGCCAGGGGAGCGAACGGGAUUAGAAACCCUAGUAGUCC
rnacentral:rRNA from 1 species